CGUGUAGGCGGCCAGAUAAGUCAGAUGUGAAAACCCUUGGCUUAACCAAGGAAGGGCAUUUGAAACUGUCUGGCUUGAGUACGGGAGGGGGAAGUGGAAUUCUCGGUGUAGAGGUGAAAUUCGUAGAUAUCGGGAGGAACACCGGUGGCGAAGGCGGCUUCCUGGACCGAUACUGACGCUGAGACGCGAAAGCGUGGGGAGCAAACAGGAUUAGAUACCCUGGUAGUCCACGCCGUAAACUUUGGGCACUUGGUGUUGCGGGUAUUGACCCCUGCAGUGCCGAAGCUAACGCAUUAAGUGCCCCCGCCUGGGGAGUACGGUCGCAAGGCUAAA
rnacentral:rRNA from 1 species